rnacentral:ncRNA from 2 species
UGUUCAUCAAGAGCUGGUUGAGGGAAUGGCCCGAUGAUGCCGCGGCAACCAUCGCAUCUGCGAACGGUGCCAAUUCCACAGGAUUACCUCCUGGCAGAUGAAGA